CUGGGCUGCACCAACAGAGGGGUGGGCAACAGGUGGAGAGAGAUAAGAUUACUUCACAACAAUUACUUUGCCACAAAGAGGAGAGUUUCUACAAGUGCACAAAAAGAUGCUGGGUACUUGUUAUUCCAGCCAGACAAAAGCACAGCUGCAGCAGUAUCAAGAACCACUCUUUGUCCUCUACAAAAGGAGAAGAAACAAGGAAGGUAGCAGAAAGAAGAGGCCAAGGGUCACCGCAGGAGAAGCGAGGACUGCGCGAUGGUCGCAGCCAGUGCCUGUAGCCCUUGGGAGCAGCACCUGCUCUUGGCUUUGCAGGGCGCUUCUUUGGUGAUGCUGGGCAAGUUAAGCUGUGUGCUGUAAAUUCCUCGUCUGGGAAAUGGAGCAAAGCUAUUUUUAGUACUCCUAGGAGUCUAAAACAGAGCUAGAUACGAUUAACGUACACUUAUGGAGAUUACCAAGAGUUAAGAGUAGAGGUCAAAACCCCAUGGUGCUCACGCUCUCUUUUAGCCUAGAGUGAAUACAUUUUUGAGGCGAAGGAUGGGGGAAAAAUGGGGAGUGUUUUGUUUGUCUGAAAUAUUUUGGGACUUAAAAAACACAAACAUUUAAACAAUGCUUUGAAGAGAUUACAGCCACUGCCCAAAGUUUUGUUCUUCCAAAAAAGUCCUUUGUUCAAGGAGACUCCUGCAAAAAUGUGUCUUCUGAGAACAGGGCACUUUU